rnacentral:rRNA from 1 species
UACAGAGGUCCCAAGCGUUGUUCGGAUUCACUGGGCGUAAAGGGUGCGUAGGCGGUCGGGUAAGUCUGACGUGAAAUCUCCAAGCUCAACUUGGAAAUGGCGUCGGAUACUAUUCGGCUCGAGGAGUGGAGGGGGAGACUGGAAUUUCCGGUGUAGCGGUGAAAUGCGUAGAUAUCGGAAGGAACACCAGUGGCGAAAGCGGCUUCCUGGUCCAGCACCGACGUCAGGCACGAAAGCGUGGGGAGCAAACAGG